rnacentral:rRNA from 1 species
GACGAACGCUGGCGGCGUGCUUAACACAUGCAAGUCGAACGGAAAGGCCCUGCUUUUGUGGGGUGCUCGAGUGGCGAACGGGUGAGUAACACGUGAGUAACCUGCCCCUGACUUUGGGAUAACUUCAGGAAACUGGGGCUAAUACCGGAUAGGAGCUCCUUCUGCAUGGUGGGGGUUGGAAAGUUUCGGCGGUUGGGGAUGGACUCGCGGCUUAUCAGCUUGUUGGUGGGGUAGUGGCUUACCAAGGCUUUGACGGGUAGCCGGCCUGAGAGGGUGACCGGCCACAUUGGGACUGAGAUACGGCCGAGACUCAUACGGGGGGCAGGAGGGGGGACUAUUGCAGAAUGGGCGGAAGCGUGAUGCAGCAACGCCGCGUGUGGGAUGACGGCCUUCGGGUUGUAAGCCGCUUUCGCCUGUGACGAAGCGUGAGUGACGGUAAUGGGUAAAGAAGCACCGGCUAACUACGU